AUAGGAAUCUGUAUUUGUGGACGUACAUAUCUGCGGCAGUGUUUGCCGGGCCAAAGAGUUGCUUACCUGCGGAGGCCGAGCUACCUGUGCCCAGGUAGGCGUAUGCAUGUGUGCCUGUGCCUUAUCCACAUCCUUCGUCUCUGCAGUGGAUGCAGCAGCCAGCGGUCAGCGGAGGCAGCGCAGCAUCGGCAGCGAACCAUCAUUAUGUCCAGGUUUUGAUGCCCUUCAUCCCCACCCAUCACGCGAUAAAUCUCCGGCUUACAAUCAGAAGAAAUGCUGCCAGAACAAAAGCACACAUGUCCAUUGCAAUGCCUUUGGGUCGCCUGUGAUUUGAAUAGCCACAU